rnacentral:lncRNA from 1 species
UGAAGCCGUUGCACGCUGGUUUCCAACAAAACCCUAAUUUAAUUUUAUUUUCGAUGUCCAAUUUAUAAUCAUGCAUAUUUACAUGAACAAAUAUUUAAUACAAUUCUUGACAAUAUCAAUUCAUAUAAUUCAAUAAUUAUGAAUAUAAUGCAUACACCAUUUACGUAAAAUCUAAAAUUUGUAAAAUGUAAAGUUAGGUCAUGCAUUAUGAUGAAUGUUCAUGUUAUUAGGGUUACAAAAAUAUCGAGAUAAAAACCGUUGUUUUGGAAGAACUUGAUUAUGUGAUGAUAUUGAUGAACUGGUUUGAUGCAGAAAUUUCCACGUCAGAUUCCUAAGCGCAGCAGUAGGAGCGUGCUGAUAACGUGUUGUUGCUUAUUUAAUCUGACAAGGGAGAGAGAGGGGGCUUAGGGUUGUGUGUUAUUCCCCCUAUGCAAUGCCUUUAUUUAUAGUAAUAAGGGAGGGAAGAAUCUUUCUCCUCCAAGGAAUACAAUCAUAAUAGGGAAGAAUAACUAGUAUCAAAUCUAAUAUAAGAUUUUCACAAUUACACUAUGAUGCAAUAUCUAUAACAAUGUUUAUGUAUUGAUUCAAGUAAUUUUGUGAUAUACUAAUAUGCUUUUCCAUUUUAAAAUAUAGAAGUAUGUUUAAUAUAAAAAUAUAUCCUAACUAGGAAUUAAAUAAAAAUGUUAAUAACAAAUUACAUAUUUGAGUAAAUAAAAAUAAGAAAUUAGAAUAUUUUGAAAGUUUUUUUUUAUUUGGAUUAAGUUCGGAACACUUUGAAAAAAGUAGGAUCGGAAAUCCGGAGUUAUUGAAAUUGCUAAAUGCAUUCCUAUUAUGUUCCAUUUUUUCCGAGAAAAUUUGGAUCUGGAAUUUUUGGGUUGUAAGUUCGAAAUUUUACUGUCGAAAAUCGAAAAUCCAUUCUAAUUUGCAUCCCUGCUUCUGCAAGACCAGUUUCAAAAUUCCAGCACUUCUGCAAGAGGAGUUUCAAAAUUUCAGCACUUAUGCAAUAUUAGUCUCAAAAGUUUUUAGCACUUGUCCAAUAUUAGUUUCAAAAUUCAUGCAUCUAAAUCAAUCAAAACCUCAAAAUCAAAUACUUUCAAAAAAUAUUUAAAUAAAAAACAAAUCUAAAAUCUUAACCAUUUUUAGAAAGAAAAAAAUCAUAAAUCUAGGGAACAAUCUGAAGAAGAAGAGGAUGAGGAAGAGAGAGAAGUA